CCUACGGGAGGCAGCAGUCGAGAAUCAUUCACAAUGGGGGAAACCCUGAUGGUGCGACGCCGCGUGGGGGAAUGAAGGUCUUCGGAUUGUAAACCCCUGUCAUGUGGGAGCAAAUUAAAAAGAUAGUACCACAAGAGGAAGAGACGGCUAACUCUGUGCCAGCAGCCGCGGUAAUACAGAGGUCUCAAGCGUUGUUCGGAAUCACUGGGCGUAAAGCGUGCGUAGGCUGUUUCGUAAGUCGUGUGUGAAAGGCGCGGGCUCAACCCGCGGACGGCACAUGAUACUGCGAGACGAGAGGAAUGGAGGGGGAACCGGAAUUCUCGGUGUAGCAGUGAAAUGCGUAGAUAUCGAGAGGAACACUCGUGGCGAAGGCGGGUUCCUGGACAUUAACUGACGCUGAGGCACGAAGGCCAGGGGAGCGAAAGGGAUUAGAUACCCUGGUAGUC
rnacentral:rRNA from 1 species